rnacentral:rRNA from 1 species
AGCGAACGCUGGCGGCAGGCCUAACACAUGCAAGUCGAGCGCCCCGCAAGGGGAGCGGCAGACGGGAGAGUAACACGUGGGAACGUGCCCUUUGGUUCGGAACAACCCAGGGAAACUUGGGCUGAUACCGGAUAAGCCCCCACUGGGAAAGAUUUAUCGCCGCAGGAUCGGCCCGCGUCUGAUUAGCUAGUUGGUGGGGUAAUGGCCCACCAUGGCGGCGAUCAGUAGCUGGUCUGAGAGGAUGAUCAGCCUCACUGGGACUGGGACACGGCCCAGACUCCUACGGGAGGCAGCAGUGGGGAAUAUUGGACAAUGGGCGCAAGCCUGAUCCAGCCAUGCCGCGUGGGUGAUGAAGGCCCUAGGGUUGUAAAGCCCUUUCGGCGGGGAAGAUAAUGACGGUACCCGCAGAAGAAGCCCCGGCUAACUUCGUGCCAGCCGCCGCCGUAA